UUCCUCCCACUCUUGGGUCUCAGAUAUUGGCAAUUUGAGCUGCUUUUUGCUUUCUACACUUUUUCCCAGUGACACCUCUCCCAAGUACACAGAUAUAGGUUUUUUCUUCUGCCACUGAGCCCCAGUAGUGUGCCACUGGUACUUGUUCUGACAGAAAAGCUGUAAUAAUACCCAGCUCUUGUACAGCCAUUGCCACAGGACAUCUAAAGCUCUGACAUGGCUGUUGAACCAAUCUGCAGCACAAAAAACAUCUCUCAAGACCCUCACCGUUGCUAAUGCUCUGAAUUCCCCCCUAGGAAGCAGCCAAAGGCUCCAUAAAUUCCCAUUGUUCCCCCCAGGAAGCAGCCAAAGCCUCCAUCCAGUGGAGCACAGCGGAACCCUGCAUUCAGUUCUGACACAGCUGCUGACCUGGAGCACGGGCACCAUCAGCCAGCCGGGACACAGGAUGCCUGGGUUGGACAAAUUCCAAAAGUUGUACUGAAAAGACAAGAUUUUAAUGAUGCUUCAAUCCCAAGUCAAAACCAUAAUUACAGUCAUGUGUACGAUCAGCCUCUGAGGACAGCAGGUCCAUCAUCAGAUUAUUUCCCUCAGUCCCGAGCCCAGCAGGAUGAGUUUGACUAUUCCAGGAAGGAUUUGCCUUAUCCAGUUUAUCCAGAGGCGAGACAGUACCGGAGAUACUAAGAACACAUGCUUCCUAUAUCACAUGUCUUGGAGUGCUGCAUGAUCAGUGGACAAUCCAGGUGCUGAGAGAGCAGUGAGGCCCUGGUGAGACACAGAGGAAAUUGCCAUCCCUAUCAGAGAGCACUGAGUUAUUGCCAAGAGAAGGUAUAGGGGAUAAUUGUAAAAGAAAACCUGAUCUGACAUGACAUUAACAUUUAAUUUAUUUACUGUGUGAUUGGUGACAGCUUUGUGUGAAUCCCUGAUUCUGCAGUGCACAAGGGUCUGGCCUGGCAGUGUGGUACAAACACAGCCAAGGACUUGGCCUCUCUCUGUCCCAAGAUCUAUCAAAUACCUACAGACCCAUUCCCUUGUCUCUUGUUUUUGCUUUGUCUUCCUUCUGUGUUGAUCCUAGCAGCUGGAAUGGUUUGCCUUUAAAA